rnacentral:rRNA from 1 species
ACAUGCAGUCGAGCGGAUGAGGGAGCUUGCUCCCUGAUUCAGCGGCGGACGGGUGAGUAACGCCUAGGAAUCUGCCUGGUAGUGGGGGACAACGUCUCGAAAGGGACGCUAAUACCGCAUACGUCCUACGGGAGAAAGCAGGGGACCUUCGGGCCUUGCGCUAUCAGAUGAGCCUAGGUCGGAUUAGCUAGUUGGUGAGGUAAUGGCUCACCAAGGCUGCGAUCCGUAACUGGUCUGAGAGGAUGAUCAGUCACACUGGAACUGAGACACGGUCCAGACUCCUACGGGAGGCAGCAGUGGGGAAUAUUGGACAAUGGGCGAAAGCCUGAUCCAGCCAUGCCGCGUGUGUGAAGAAGGUCUUCGGAUUGUAAAGCACUUUAAGUUGGGAGGAAGGGCAGUAAGUUAAUACCUUGCUGUUUUGACGUUACCGACAGAAUAAGCACCGGCUAACUUCGUGCCAGCAGCCGCGGUAAUACGAAGGGUGCAAGCGUUAAUCGGAAUUACUGGGCGUAAAGCGCGCGUAGUGGUUUGUUAAGUUGGAAGUGAAGCCCCGGGCUCAACCUGAGAACUGCUUUCAAACUGGCCAAGCUAGGAGUAUGGCAGA